CCUACGGGGGGCAGCAGUGGGGGAUAUUGCACAAUGGGGGAAACCCUGAUGCAGCGACGCCGCGUGUGGGAAGACGGUCCUCUGGAUUGUAAACCACUGUCCCCAGGGACGAAGAUGACGGUACCUGGGGAGGAAGCUCCGGCUAACUACGUGCCAGCAGCCGCGGUAAUACGUUGGGAGCGAGCGUUGUCCGGAAUUACUGGGUGUAAAGGGAGCGUAGACGGCAGCGCAAGUCUGGAGUGAAAUGCCGGGGCCCAACCCCGGAACUGCGCUGGAAACUGUGAAGCUGGAGUGCAGGAGAGGUAAGCGGAAUUCCUGGUGUAGCGGUGAAAUGCGUAGAUAUCAGGAGGAACACCGGCGGCGAAGGCGGCUUACUGGACUGUAACUGACGUUGAGGCUCGAAGGCGUGGGGAGCAAACAGGAUUAGAUACCCGGGUAGUC
rnacentral:rRNA from 1 species